rnacentral:rRNA from 1 species
GACGAACGCUGGCGGCAGGCCUAACACAUGCAAGUCGAACGAGUGGCGGACGGGUGAGUAAUGUCUGGGAAACUGCCCGAUGGAGGGGGAUAACUACUGGAAACGGUAGCUAAUACCGCAUACCAUCGGAUGUGCCCAGAUGGGAUUAGCUAGUAGGUGGGGUAACGGCUCACCUAGGCGCCGGUCCAUAGCUGGUCUGAUAGGAUGACCAGCCACACUGGAACUGAGACACGGUCCAGACUCCUACGGGAGGCAGCAUUGGGGAAGAUUGCACAAUGGGCGCAAGCCUGAUGCGGACAUGCCGCGUGUGUGAAGAAGGCCUUCGGGUUGUAAAGCACUUUCAGCGAGGAGGCGUUACUCGCAGAAGAAGCACCGGCUAACUCCGUGCCAGCAGCCGCGGUAAUAC